CACAGCAGCAAUAGCUUCCAGGAUUAACUCCUAUGGAAAAUGUUGGGAGACUGUUCGCUGUAGGUGCUCCCUGCUGCAGUUUGCUUUUCCCAAUGCACAGAAAGUCCAGCAGAG